rnacentral:rRNA from 1 species
CAGUCGAGCGAUUCUCUUCGGAGAAGAGCGGCGGACGGGUGAGUAACGCGUGGGUAACCUGCCUCAUACACAUGGAUAACAUACCGAAAGGUAUGCUAAUACAAGAUAACAUAAGAGAUUCGCAUGGAUUUCUUAUCAAAGCUCCGGCGGUAUGAGAUGGACCCGCGUCUGAUUAGCUAGUUGGUAAGGUAACGGCUUACCAAGGCGACGAUCAGUAGCCGACCUGAGAGGGUGAUCGGCCACAUUGGAACUGAGACACGGUCCAAACUCCUACGGGAGGCAGCAGUGGGGAAUAUUGCACAAUGGGCAAAAGCCUGAUGCAGCAACGCCGCGUGAGUGAUGAAGGCCUUCGGGUCGUAAACUCUGUCCUCAAGGAAGAUAAUGACGGUACUUGAGGAGGAAGCCCCGGCUAACUACGUGCCAGCAGCCGCGGUAAUACGUAGGGGGCUAGCGUUAUCCGGAUUUACUGGGCGUAAAGGGUGCGUAGGUGGUUUCUUAAGUCAGGAGUGAAAGGCUACGGCUCAACCGUAGUAAGCUCUUGAAACUGGGAAACUUGAGUGCAGGAGAGGAAAGUGGAAUUCCUAGUGUAGCGGUGAAAUGCGUAGAUAUUAGGAGGGACACCAGUAGCGAAGGCGGCUUUCUGGACUGUAACUGACACUGAGGCACGAAAGCGUGGGGAGCAAACAGGAUUAGAUACCCUGGUAGUCCACGCCGUAAACGAUGAGUACUAG